rnacentral:pre_miRNA from 1 species
CAAAAAAAAAAAACAAACUUUCCGCAUCACUGUCCGUCUUAUAUAAUUUUUUUUAUAAUUAGUAUUUUUAUUGUUGUUAGAUGAUAAAAUAUAAUUAAUACUUUAUGCGUGACUUGUCUUUUUAAUUUUUUUUAUAUUUUUUUCAAAUAAGACGGACGGUCAAACAUUGGACACGGAAAGUCAAGGUU